rnacentral:rRNA from 1 species
UACGUAGGGGGCAAGCGUUGUCCGGAUUUAUUGGGCGUAAAGAGCGUGUAGGCGGCCAGACAGGUCAGCUGUGAAAACUCGAGGCUCAACCUCGAGACGUCGGUUGAAACCGUCUGGCUAGAGUCCGGAAGAGGAAAGUGGAAUUCCCGGUGUAGCGGUGAAAUGCGCAGAUAUCGGGAAGAACACCCGUGGCGAAGGCGGCUCUCUGGGACGGUACUGACGCUGAGACGCGAAAGCGUGGGGAGCGAACAGG